GAUGAACGCUAGCUACAGGCUUAACACAUGCAAGUCGAGGGGUAACGAGAGGAAAGCUUGCUUUCCUUGUCGACGACCGGCGCACGGGUGAGUAACGCGUAUCCAACCUGCCCCCAACUAGGGAAUAACCUUGCGAAAGUAAGACUAAUACCCUAUAAUUUCCUCAGAUGUCAUCUGACGAGGAAUAAAGAUUUAUCGGUUGUGGAUGGGGAUGCGUCUGAUUAGCUUGUUGGCGGGGUAACGGCCCACCAAGGCAACGAUCAGUAGGGGUUCUGAGAGGCACGUCCCCCACAUUGGAACUGAGACACGGUCCAAACUCCUACAGGAGGCAGCAGUGAGGAAUAUUGGUCAAUGGGCGGAAGCCUGAACCAGCCAAGUAGCGUGCAGGAUGACGGCCCUAUGGGUUGUAAACUGCUUUUAUACAGGAAUAAAGUUAGCCACGUGUGGUUAUUUGUAGGUACUGUAUGAAUAAGGACCGGCUAAUUCCGUGCCAGCCGCCGCCGUAA
rnacentral:rRNA from 1 species